AGAUCAUGGACAGCAUUCUGAUUUCAAAUCCCUCUCGCGGUAUUUUAAUGUCAUCCGUUUCUCAGUUCCUGCAACUCAGCAUUACGUUGAACACUUUGUCAAAAAUGAUUGAGAUGGCCAAUCAAAUCAAAAAAGGCGAGUGCCACUGGCCAAUCACAUAACAGAAGACGAGCUUUCCUGUUAACGGAAGCCGAGCGGCGGCCAAUCAAAUUAACCAAUAGGCGGGGUUACCGUCGGAGUAGCAGUUACACCGCGUCAAUCAAUCAUAACGGACACGGACACACAGAUUUCAAAGGCAGCAGGAUGAAAGAUAUGUGUCUGUGUUCAUCAAGACAUGAAGACUCUGGAGUGGGACAAGAGAAGGAUGAUGGGGUGUAUAUUCAAAUAGACACAUUAAGUCACAUUGUGAUUUCAGUGAAAGCUGAUAAAUACAGAGGGCUGGACAGUGGUUUCAUUCAUUAGGUAAAGAGGUGGGACAAGGAUGCUGACAGGACAGGAGGAGGUGACAUUCAGGUUAGUGACAGUACAUCAGGGCCACCAUUUAAUUUAAUGUUAAUUUAAUUGCUUCCAAAAUCAAUACUUGACAAAUCUUUAGAAUUAUAUCUGCAAAGCUGAAUUUCUCAUAGGUGGAUAAAGUAUGACAGCAAUUGUGAAGACCUUAGACGUGCAGUAUAUGGUUCUUCUCUCUUUCAUUUAU